GCGGCAGUGGCGGAACGGCAGACGCGCUAGAUUCAGGAUCUAGUGGGGGCAACCCCGUGGAGGUUCAAAUCCUCUCUGCCGCACCA
rnacentral:tRNA from 1 species